rnacentral:rRNA from 1 species
UAUAUACUUGAUCUUGAUACCUACGUGGAUAACUGUGGUAAUUCUAGAGCUAAUACAUGCACCAAAGCUCCGAAUUUUUGACGAGCGCAUCUAUUAGAUUAAAACCAAUCGGGUUUCGGCCCGUUUGUUGGUGACUCUGAAUAACUAUAGCUGAUCGCAUGGUCUCGAACCGGCGACGUGUCUAUCAAGUGUCUGCCUUAUCAACUUUCGAUGGUAGUUUAUGUGCCUACCAUGGUUGUAACGGGUAACGGAGAAUAAGGGUUCGACUCCGGAGAGGGAGCCUGAGAAACGGCUACCACAUCCAAGGAAGGCAGCAGGCGCGCAAAUUACCCACUCUCGGCAUGAGGAGGUAGUGACGAAAAAUAACGAGACCGUUCUCUAUGAGGCCGGUUAUCGGAAUGGGUACAACUUAAACCUGUUAACGAGGAUCUAUGAGAGGGCAAGUCUGGUGCCAGCAGCCGCGGUAAUUCCAGCUCUCAAAGUGUAUAUCGUCAUUGCUGCGGUUAAAAAGCUCGUAGUUGGAUCUGCGCCUCAGGACUCGGUCCGCCCACUGGGUGAGAACUGGGCUCCUGGGCUAGUUCUGCUGGUUUUCCUUACGUUGCCUUCAUCGGUAGCGUAGGGUGGCUAGCGAGUUUACUUUGAAAAAAUUAGAGUGCUUCACGCGGGCUUAUGUCUGAAUACUUGUGCAUGGAAUAAUAGAAUAGGAUCUCGGCUCUAUUUUGUUGGUUUUCUGAUCUGAGAUAAUGGUUAAGAGGGACGGACGGGGGCAUUCGUAUCGCUGCGUGAGAGGUGAAAUUCUUGGACCGUAGCGAGACGCCCGACUGCGAAAGCAUUUGCCAAGAAUGUCUUCAUUAUCAGAAGAAGUCAGAGGUCGA